AUCUAUAUUAACAGCGGUUGAAAGCGGCCCCAAACAUAACGUAGCGAGCAUUCAACGCGAGCACAUCAUUAUAAUUAUUAAAAUCAAUCAAUCCGCCAUAAUGUAUACAAACCCAUUUGAAAGGAAGCACUCGGUGUUAAGACAGGCCCUUGAUAGGUUCAUCAAGGGCGAGACGAAGCUGAGCUUCAAGAAGAACAUCCUCUCAAAGAGGACUAGUUCUGACUCUUCUGUGUCCUCUAGCAGUACAUAUAGUGUACAAAAGCAUAAUUCAAAAAAAUGAACUGGAAUGUUGUGACAAUUUUGUGUUCAGUUUUGCCGUAUUUUACUCACUAACAGUUUGAGUGGAGUCGAUUUCGGAACUGGUUCCUUGACGUCAGAAAGCCGGAUGACUGUCAUUAGUUGGUGUUAAAUAUUUGCGACUUGAUUAUUCUAACAAUAAAAAAGUUUAAAUAAAAAAAAAA